ACAUCCCCCUGCAAAUUCCAGCCCAGAGCCCACAGCUUCCGGAGGUUUUCUGUAAUUAACACCGCCCUUGCUCCCUUGGGGCAAUUACUGUAAUUUAGGUAUUCCCCGCAAUGGUGUGCUGAUUUCUGUUGAGAACACUCUGCCUGUUUUUCUCAACUCUGUUUUAAAGCUACGGAGAGAUCCGGAGUCCACGCCAGGCGACAAGAACGCGCUCUAAUAGAACGAGGGCCGUCUUUCUCCCCUGCUGCUCUGAGAGAUGUCAGUCUCGUCUCAACCUCACCAGCAAUUUCUAUCUUGAAUAAGCCAAGUCUCUCUCCCAGCCUGAGAGAAUGCUUGAAUUGUUGGCACUCUGUUCUUUGCUACCAAAUGGCUUGGAAAAAUAGCAUGAACGUCACCAGUCUCUGGCCUUCAGGAAAGUCCCUGCUAACCACCACAGCGGUGGAGAAGGCGUCUAACUUUCUCCAGGCUCAGCGUGUGAGUGAACACCGCCCUGACCUCCUGGGCGCGUCCUGAUGCUCUCAACAGCAGCCCUCAGGAUUCUGGACUGUGGGUCCCACAUUCUAGAUACCAUUUGUUGAACGGCUGGAUGAGGAAAUUGCAACAGCACCCUCAUUUCCAGUUGAGGGAAUGGGCGGGUUACCAGGAGGUUUGACACUCUUUAAGGGAGGUUAACAACUGACGCAAGAAGUAAGGAAUCGUGUUUGAGUGCACAGACUCUAGCAUAAACACACCUACCUUCAAUUUCUAGCUCUGUCACUGUCACUGUGACUUUAUUACCUCUGCAAUAGGACUGAAGCCAUCUAAUUUAUUGGAUUGUGAGGACUAAAAGAUAAUAUAUGUGGGCAUGUAGCACAGUGUCUGGCACAUAGUUCACCUUCCAUAACCAGUAGUAACCAGUAACUAACUCUAGGGCUGAGGGGAUGGGGGAAGGAAGCAGUUACUAAAACCAGGCGAGAGCGGUAGCUGUGGCUGUACGAGAGAGUAACCAACUGAAACUGUGUCGUUCAGCAGAGGAAAGCAAGCAAUGCCAACUUUUCACCAAGUAAGGUGAGAUUCUAUAGUUGUAGCCAAUGCUGAGACGUCAGCCCAAAGCAGGGACAGAGUGGUGAAGACCCACCUCUCUGUUCUCCCAGCUCUGAUAUCCAGCUGGGGUCUUCCACUGGCUGGAUCCACCAGGAAGCCAGAAGACAAUGGAGCUAGGUCUGUGUAGUCUGUAGAGGUCAGCCUCUUAGGCACAAUGCCUGGAGGGAUAAAUAGAAAAUAUCCAGCACACCGUUUUUUUUUGUUUUGUUUUGUUUUUUAUUAUACUUUAAGUUCUAGGGUACAUGUGCACAACGUGCAGGUUUGUUACAUAUGUAUACAUGUGCCAUGUUGGUGUGCUGCACCCAUUAACUCGUCAUUUACACUAAGUAUGUCUCCUAAUGCUAUCCCUCCCCCCUCCCCCCAUCCCACAACAGGCCCCAGUGUGUGAUGUCCCCCUUCCUGUGUCCAAGUGUUCUCAUUGUUCAGUUCCCACCUAUGAGUGAGAACAUGCGAUGUCUGGUUUUUUGUCCUUGCAAUAGUUUGCUGAGAAUGAUGGUUUCUAGCUUCAUCCAUGUCCCUACAAAGGACAUGAACUCAUCAUUUUUUAUGGCUGCAUAGUAUUCCAGCACACCAUUUCUACAACCUUGGGUUUAUUGUGUUUGGAAGCCUAGAUCCAAAGGAAGGAAUGCUUCCACUAGAAGACCCAGUCACUGAAUUGAAUUGAAUUUCAAUUCAUUGAUUCGAAAGCUGAAACUGCCCUCUGGUCCUUUUGAUUCGUCACAGUGAUAGAAUGGUAUGAUUGAUCCCAAAUACCAAAAGGAAAUUGGGUUACAUCUAUAUAUUGAGGGCAAGAAGAACUAUGCAUGACACCUGGAGAUUCACUGGGCACUUCUUAAUACUGCCGUGUGCCAUAAUAAUGAUUAUCAGAUAACUGAAAUAAUGCAGAAAUUUCAGAUCAUGGAGAAAUGAAAGUAUUGAAGCAUACCAGAUAAAAAAUCCUGAUCUACCUAGGUGUUGGCAUAGGGCAGGGGAAACGUAAGUAAAUGAGUAGGAAGAUAUGAUUAUUAAUUUUAGCCUUGUAACAAGCUCUAGCUAGAGGCAGGGAUUAUAGUAGCUCUCCACUUAAAAUGUUAAUUACUUCUUCCCUGACUCUCUUUUCCUAUUACCCUGCAUAAAGAGUACUGGUGGAGAUAAAUAUUACAAUUUAAUUUCUAGGUGAGAAUGUACCUGAACUGACAUCCCCUCAAGGCAAUAUGGCAGCUGAUUGGGCUUGUUAAAGAAAAUCAAACCUGGACAAUAGUUGUAGCAGUAAAAAUAGAUUUUUAUUCAGCAACUUUUGAAAUAGGGGGAAAGAGACCUUGGUAAAGAACUGGGCUCAAUUCUGAAUACAGUAAGGAUAAGUGGGGAUUUAUAGCCGAGGAGCAGGUUGUGUGGAUGGGGGUGGGGUCUGUGGAUGGAAAAUUACUAAGAAGAGACAUCAAGGGUAGGGGAAAUCCUUGCUAAACUGACCUAACAGGAUUCUUGCUAAAGGUAGGCCAGGGUAAGCAGACAUCACCUGGGGGCUGGUGGGGGUAAGGAAUUUGAUCAGAUAUUGAGAGUGGUCAAAUAUUCAGGGUGGGAAGAUCCUCUCUAAACUGACUUAGCAGGAUUCUUGCUAACACUGACUCUGUAAGGAUGAACACUGCAUCCCAAGGUCAAGAUCUAAUCAAGGAGAUGGCUUAGAGGAGCCUGACUAAAGUUUGGUCGAGGAGAAAUCUUGUCAGAUUCUGUUAUUCUCAUAUGUAAGGGAUGAGCUGCUCUUCAUCUGAGCAAAGGAAAAGAAUAAAUUCUGGGUGACAAAACAAUUAGACUGUCUAGGUUUUCUGUUUGCCUUCCAUCAUAUUCAUUCUCCUCACUUCCCUGCCCUGUUCUAUACCCCAAAGCUGACCUCUUUGGACAGCACCACCUGGGCUCUCCUCAACUGGUUUCCAUUUGAGUCUGGACAGCGGGAGGCAUUCAGGGAGAUGGGAAGCAGGAGGAAAAAGACAUCAGGGUAUAUUUUCUCUGUUCUUUCUCUGUUUGGGGCUGAGUAUCUGGUGGUGGUUGUGUUUCUCCACAACUGCAGCUCUUGGCAAGUGGUCCCUUCUCCAUGGCUCCAGCUCCAUGGGCUCUGGAAACACUUUUCUCCUUUGCUGUGUAGUCUAAAGAGAGUUCAGUCUUCCUGCUGUUGCUAGACUCUGGAUGCCUCAACCGGAUGGUUCUUAGUCAUACUCCUUUAGGUAGUGUCUUCACUAAUAUCUCUUUAAUCAAACCAACUGAGUAAAAUUCUGAUUCCUUAUGGAUACACCUUAAACUGAAAACACACAUUAUAAAUAUUCUUGUAUGUAUGAUGUUGUUCAUAAUUUUAAAAAUAAGUGAAAAAAGUGACCAUAGAAAAAUAUGCCCCGGAAAUUGAAAAAAAAGUCUUGGUAUAGAUAUUGGACACAUUUUAUAAAAUGUGGAGUAAGAGGGUUAAAGGAAAUUUAUUUCAGAAUCAAAUGGCUUAUAACUUUAACUGGUAUGUGAAUUAUUUUCAGUUGUAUGAAUUUGUGAAUAUAUAUGUGUAUAUUUUUAUGCAUAUAUAUAAAUGUGUUUUAUAUCAUCUUGCAUUGUAGCAUAAGGAUUUUUAUCUUGCUACAUUGCAUUUAUAUUUACCAUUUUUAACAGCUAAAGGAUUUUCAAUAAGUGUGUAUGUAACAACUUCCAUUGCUGGAUAUUUCUCAGUAUGUAUAUAUAUGUAUAUAUACAUAUGUGUGUAUAUGUAUAUGUACAUACGUGUGUGUAUAUGUAUAUUUACAUAUGUGUAUAUAUACAUAUGUAUGUGUAUGUAUAUGUAUACAUAUGUAUGUGUAUAUAUACAUACCUGUGUGUAUAUGUAUAUAUACAUGCAUGUGUGUAUACGUAUAUAUACAUACAUGUGUAUAUGUAUACAUAUGUGUAUAUAUACGUAUGUAUAUAUAAACACAUACAUAUAUCUAUAUAUGCACAUGCAUAUGUACACACUGAGUUAAGUAGUACAAAUAUUUUAGAGAAAAUUGAUGUAAAAUCCUCAACUCAUUUGAUGCUCCCUAUCCCAGGACAGUAAAAAUUGCUCCAUAUUUCCUUAGACCUCCAUAAAAAAGCAGUUUUUCAAAAAAUAAAGUGUUUGGAAGUUUAAGAUGUGCGUAGCAGUAUCUCCUUUUAACAGAGAUGCUUUCACAAGGGUUUGAAUUUCCCCAUUGAUCUGGGAACCAGGUUUAGCCAAGAACUUCAGUCUGUGAAGGACUGCAAAUAGUUGCACAGUGUGGGGCUGCAGCUAGAACCUCCUUAAUAUUAAACAAUUCUGGGAUGGUGCUCCCCAAAUUCUGGAUUUUAACCUUCACUCCAAUCCUGGGGCACCUCUGUAGCUUGGGCAUGACCUGGACACAAGCUUUGUAUAAGCCUUCUUUGGACUUCAUCUAUUCCUCAACGGUGACACCAUGUGGCAGUGUAAUAUAAUGGCAUCAGUGGACUCAUCCCGUUCUCUCCCUACCUAGAGAUUUUUAAAAUUGAGAUAUAUAAUUCACAACCAUAAUAUGUACCACCUUAAAAUGUACAAUUUAAUGGUUUUUCAUACAUUCAAAAAGUUGUACAACAAUCACCACUAUCUAAUUCCAUAACAUUUUCUUCACCCUAGAAAGAAACCUCAUACCUAUUAGCAGCCACUCCCCAUUCUCCCCUUUCCCCCAGUUUCUGGGGACCCCUAACCUACUUUUUGUUUUUAUAGAUUUGCCUAUUCUGGACAUUUUAUAUAAAUGGAAGCCUACAAUCUAUGGCCUUUUGUGUCUGGCUCCUUUUACUUAGUAUGAUCAAGGUUCAUCCAAGUUGUAACAUGUACCAGUACUUCAUUUCUUUUUAUGUCUGAUUAAUGUUCCAAUGUAUGGAUAUACCACAUUCUGUUUAUCCAUUCAAAAUUGUGGGGCAUUUGGAUUGUUCCUAUUUGUUUGCUGUUAUAAAUAAUGCUGCUAAGUUUUUGUAUGA